CAGCUUCACCUGGAGCCUGGAACUCCAUUGCAGGGCUGCAGGAAACUGGGUGAAAAUCCGCUCCCUAAUCUCUGCUUGUGUAGACGCCUGUCCAAAAACACUUACUCCAGAGUAGCUUAUACCAGAGUAAAUUUGGCCCCAAGUAAAUGCAUGUAUAGAUGCAUCCACUAGAAAUCAAAUAUAACUUUAGAAAAGACAUGAUCUUGGCUUUGAAUGCUUCCUUUUUUUUCUUGUACAGAUAAGGACAGGAAGAGAAAGAGAUAAGAAAAUAGCUGAAGUUAAUGGACACUUUGGACACAUUCAGCGACAAGUUUUGGCCUUUCAAAAAUCCCCUUUGGCUUCUGACCUGCAUAUUUUAUGAUGAAACUUCUUUUGAGUAAAUUAUUGCAGAAAAUUAAAUGGAUUCACUACAAAUCCAAGCAAACGUCAGGAAUAUGAACAUCCAUGAACUCCCUGAGAGAGCUCAUCUCAUCUUACACAUAGCAGCUUCCAAGACAGUGCCCUUCAACCCAAGUAACAGAGACCCCAGUGCUGCAAAUGCGUAUGUGCUUAACUUUGAGUAGGAAUCAGGACUCAUGGUAGAAGUGAUUUGUUUUAUUAGACCAACUAGAUUUUUGCAAAAA
rnacentral:lncRNA from 1 species